AGGGAAUUUUCGGCAAUGGGGGCAACCCUGACCGAGCAAUGCCGCGUGAACGACGAAGGUCUUCGGAUCGUAAAGUUCUGUGAUUGGGGAAGAACAGCAUGAUCAGGAAAUGGGUCAUGUUUGACGGUACCCGAUUAGAAAGCCCCGGCUAACUAUGUGCCAGCAGCCGCGGUAAAACAUAGGGGGCGAGCGUUAUCCGGAAUUAUUGGGCGUAAAGAGUACGUAGGCGGCCUGUUAAGUCUGAUGUGAAAUCCCGCGGCUUAACCGCGGAGGGUCAUUGGAAACUGGCAGGCUUGAGUACGGCAGGGGUAAGUGGAAUUCCAAGUGGAGCGGUGAAAUGCGUAGAUAUUUGGAGGAACACCAGUGGCGAAGGCGGCUUACUGGGCCGGAACUGACGCUGAGGUACGAAAGCGUGGGGAGCAAAC
rnacentral:rRNA from 1 species